UUUAUCUUGCUAAAAAGUAUCUUCGAUUGUUAGCACGCUUAUAAACUGCCUGAUAACCCAAUAAAAAUUUUAUAUACCAUUGGCUGUCACUAAAAUUGCCCUGGAUUCCAUCUGUUGGCUUCGUAUCCUGGCGCUGCUCUCAGACAAAUACAAACGUACAAGAGCAAUUUCACUCUUUCGGAAGUAGUAAUUAAAAUCGUGACAUAUUGACAUCCAUGUGACGCUGAUUUGACUCUGGCUGCUUUUAUGAAGCGGUCAAACUGAACGACUGAUUUUCUUUUCUGUUGGAACAUUAUCGAAGAUGGAAGAAAACACGAAAGCUUUGAACCAAAUAAACCUAUCCUGGAUCUAAUUUGACUUCCUGUUGAUUCCAUGCGAACCCAGAGACUGUUAUUGCAUCGGUUAUAUUUGAGUUUUAUUCAAAUUUAACUAAUUCUCAUGGUCAAGCGAGGAAAGCAGAAUACAUGAAUCUAUCUAGAACUUUGUAUGCGAAAUUGAACUGGUCUGUAGAAUUUUUGUAAUUUCAUGAAGUUUGAUGUCAAAAUGAUGCUUCUUUUGCUUUCAUAAUCAUCCAACAGAUAUUGUGCAACCUGUAGGUAGUAAUUUAAAUGAUUUUAGUGAAACAA
rnacentral:lncRNA from 1 species